rnacentral:lncRNA from 1 species
UGACUCGCCCGGAACCCGGCCGAGCCUCCAAUUCCUACACCUCUCGUCCCGGAAGGAAACCCUAGGGGUUUCUGCAAGGCGAAACAUGCACCUAGCUGAAGUUGAGCUGUUCUUGAGUCAGUGAUUCUGGUAUUUUGAUAGACCUGAGGAGCGAAAAUCCGAAUUGGUCGGUUCACGGACAGUGAGGAGCUCAUGUUGAUGAUAAACUUGAACUAAGUCGACCGAGUCCGGGGCAACUGUGAAAACCAACGGCCUGGUUUAUACGCCAUUGGCGCACGAAAUGUCUUGUACUGCCCUUACGUACAGAGAGAAAUGGCGGCGGUAUUAUCCGUAAAUUUAGCAAAGCUUUGAGAAUUAGAACGGAAAUUGGUCUUGUCGUUUUAUGUUGUGGUCUGUUCGUUUUGGGCUUGAGUUACUUAUUGACCGCCCUUCUCAAUUAAGCCCAAAAAAAAGGCCCUAACUUAAU